rnacentral:rRNA from 1 species
AUUGAACGCUGGCGGCAUGCUUUACACAUGCAAGUCGAACGGUAACAGGCCUUCGGGUGCUGACGAGUGGCGAACGGGUGAGUAAUGCAUCGGAACGUGCCCAAUCGUGGGGGAUAACGUAGCGAAAGUUACGCUAAUACCGCAUAAGCCCUGAGGGGGAAAGUGGGGGACCGCAAGGCCUCACGCGAAUGGAGCGGCCGAUGUCAGAUUAGCUAGUUGGUGGGGUAAAGGCCCACCAAGGCGACGAUCUGUAGCGGGUCUGAGAGGAUGAUCCGCCACACUGGGACUGAGACACGGCCCAGACUCCUACGGGAGGCAGCAGUGGGGAAUUUUGGACAAUGGGCGCAAGCCUGAUCCAGCCAUGCCGCGUGCGGGACGAAGGCCUCGGUUGUAA